rnacentral:rRNA from 1 species
CCUACGGGAGGCAGCAGUGGGGAAUAUUGCACAAUGGGCGCAAGCCUGAUGCAGCGACGCCGCGUGGGGGAUGAAGGCCUUCGGGUUGUAAACCCCUUUCAGCAGGGAAGAAGCGAAAGUGACGGUACCUGCAGAAGAAGCGCCGGCUAACUACGUGCCAGCAGCCGCGGUAAUACGUAGGGCGCAAGCGUUGUCCGGAAUUAUUGGGCGUAAAGAGCUCGUAGGCGGUUUGUCGCGUCUGCUGUGAAAGUCCGAGGCUCAACCUCGGAUCUGCAGUGGGUACGGGCAGACUAGAGUGUGGUAGGGGAGACUGGAAUUCCUGGUGUAGCGGUGGAAUGCGCAGAUAUCAGGAGGAACACCAAUGGCGAAGGCAGGUCUCUGGGCCACAACUGACGCUGAGGAGCGAAAGCAUGGGGAGCGAACAGGAUUAGAUACCCUGGUAGUCCAUGCCGUAAACGGUGGGCACUAGAUGUGGGGCUCUUUCCAUGAGUUCCGCGUCGCNGCUACGCAUAGUGCCCGCCGUCGGGAGGUACGGCCGCGACGACGUAAACCGUACGAAGAAGUUAGACGGCGUGAGACGUAGCCGACGGACGACGACGAGGGAGGAGG